rnacentral:rRNA from 1 species
UGGAGAGCUUGCUUUCCAUGAGAGUGGCGCACGGGUGCGUAACACGUAUGUAACCUACCUUGUUCAGGGGGAUAGCCUCUCGAAAGAGAGAUUAAGACCGCAUAACAUUAUUGAAUGGCAUCGUUUAAUAAUCAAAUAUUUAUAGGAACAAGAUGGGCAUGCGGAACAUUAGCUAGUUGGUAAGGUAACGGCUUACCAAGGCUACGAUGUUUAGGGGAUCUGAGAGGAUGACCCCCCACACUGGUACUGAGACACGGACCAGACUCCUACGGGAGGCAGCAGUAAGGAAUAUUGGUCAAUGGGCGGAAGCCUGAACCAGCCAUGCCGCGUGCAGGAAGACGGCCCUAUGGGUUGUAAACUGCUUUUAUACCGGAAUAAACCUUGAUACGUGUAUCAAGCUGAAUGUACGGUAAGAAUAAGGAUCGGCUAACUCCGUGCCAGCAGCCGCGGUAAUACGGAGGAUCCAAGCGUUAUCCGGAUUUAUUGGGUUUAAAGGGUGCGUAGGUGGUUCUUUAAGUCAGGGGUGAAAG